rnacentral:rRNA from 1 species
UACGUAGGGUGCGAGCGUUGUCCGGAAUUAUUGGGCGUAAAGGGCUCGUAGGCGGUUUGUCACGUCGGGAGUGAAAACUCGGGGCUCAACCCCGAGCCUGCUUCCGAUACGGGCAGACUAGAGGUAUGCAGGGGAGAAUGGAAUUCCUGGUGUAGCGGUGAAAUGCGCAGAUAUCAGGAGGAACACCGGUGGUGUAAACGGCUUUCUGGACCAUAACGGACGCUGAGGCACGAAAGCGUGGGUAGCAAACAGG